rnacentral:rRNA from 1 species
GUUUGAUCCUGGCUCAGGACGAACGCUGGCGGCGUGCCUAAUACAUGCAAGUAGAACGCUGAAGAGAGGAGCUUGCUCUUCUUGGAUGAGUUGCGAACGGGUGAGUAACGCGUAGGUAACCUGCCUGGUAGCGGGGGAUAACUAUUGGAAACGAUAGCUAAUACCGCAUAAAAUUGAUUAUUGCAUGAUAAUUAAUUGAAAGAUGCAAUUGCAUCACUACCAGAUGGACCUGCGUUGUAUUAGCUAGUUGGUGAGGUAACGGCUCACCAAGGCGACGAUACAUAGCCGACCUGAGAGGGUGAUCGGCCACACUGGGACUGAGACACGGCCCAGACUCCUACGGGAGGCAGCAGUAGGGAAUCUUCGGCAAUGGGGGGAACCCUGACCGAGCAACGCCGCGUGAGUGAAGAAGGUUUUCGGAUCGUAAAGCUCUGUUGUAAGAGAAGAACGGGUGUGAGAGUGGAAAGUUCACGCUGUGACGGUAUCUUACCAGAAAGGGACGGCUAACUACGUGCCAGCAGCCGCGGUAAUACGUAGGUCCCGAGCGUUAUCCGGAUUUAUUGGGCGUAAAGCGAGCGCAGGCGGUUAGAUAAGUCUGAAGUUAAAGGCUGUGGCUUAACCAUAGUACGCUUUGGAAACUGUUUAACUUGAGUGCAAGAGGGGAGAGUGGAAUUCCAUGUGUAGCGGUGAAAUGCGUAGAUAUAUGGAGGAACACCGGUGGGCGAAAGCGGCUCUCUGGCUUGUAACUGACGCUGAGGCUCGAAAGCGUGGGGGAGCAAACAGGAUUAGAUACCCUGGUAGUCCACGCCGUAAACGAUGAGUGCUAGGUGGUAGGAGGUAUCGACCCCUUCUUGUGCCGGAGUUAACGCAAUAAGUACCCCGCCUGGGGGAGUACGACCG